rnacentral:rRNA from 1 species
UGAGUUCAAGAGUACGUGAAACCGUUCAGGGGUAAACCUGAGAAACCCGAAAGGUCGAAUGGGGAAAUUCAUUCGCGUUUCGAUUGUCGGCGUUGAGCGGUUGCGUGACGAACGAAGCUUCUGCUUAGUUCGCGCCUUCAGUUCUUCGAACCGACUUCGAACGCGUGCACUUUUCCCCUAGUAGGACGUCGCGAUCCGUUGGGCGUCGAUCUAAGGCCUGCGGUGGAGCUCGCGUAGACGUUUCGGCGUUCUGCACGAACCCGCAGUGUCCCGAUCGACUCGCUCGACGGUAAAUGAAAGGCGCGGGGCCGCUACAUAGUUAGCGUUCGACCUACGGCAAGCACGUUCGGUGUUUAAACGGCGAUCAGACCUGGUCGGAUCCCGUUCCCGGACGACUGUUGGCACGUAGUGUUCUCGAACAGACCUCGUUGAAACGCCGAUCUGCGACGCUAUAGCUUUGGGUACUUUCAGGACCCGUCUUUGAAACACGGACCAAA